CCUACGGGAGGCAGCAGUGGGGGAUAUUGCACAAUGGGGGGAACUCUGAUGCAGCGACGCCGCGUGGGUGAAGAAGCGCCUCGGCGCGUAAAGCCCUGUCAGCAGGGAAGAAAAUGACGGUACCUGAAGACGAAGCCCCGGCUAACUACGUGCCAGCAGCCGCGGGAAUACGUAGGGGGAAAGCGUUAUCCGGAAUUACUGGGUGUAAAGGGAGAGUAGGCGGCAAGGUAAGCGAUAUGUGAAAGCCUUAAGCUUAACUUAAGGAUGGCAUAACGAACUAGCUAGCUAGAGUGCAGGAGAGGAGAGCGGAAUUCCUAGUGUAGCGGUGAAAUGCGUAGAUAUUAGGAAGAACACCAGUGGCGAAGGCGGCUGUCUGGACUGAAACUGACGCUGAGGCUCGAAAGCGUGGGGAGCGAACAGGAUUAGAUACCCGAGUAGUC
rnacentral:rRNA from 1 species